rnacentral:lncRNA from 1 species
GGCGACACCAUGUUUUUAUUUUCUCUCUCUUUGUACUAAAACACAGAUUCCCGGUCGGAAUAUUAUCGCUUUUUUACGAGAAAAAUGGCAUAAAAAUUGAUUUUAAACAGCGGUUGACAUGCUUCGAGGGUACGGUAAUGGAAUAUUUAGAAAUUCUUUGUCACGAAACGCGUCGGGCGCGUAACCCUUAUUUACCCUUUCGGAUAGUGUCUUGAAAGCACGAACAAAACGCCGCUAUUUGGAUAUAACUAUGGAUUAUUUUGAACCAAACCAACAUUUGUUAUUGAAGUAGAAGUCCUGGGAGUGCAUUCUGACGAAGAACAGCAAAGAAGUGCUACUUCCUAGCCGUUGAGUUAGCAGCGGCCGCUGUAGACGGGGGCUAGGAAAGGACGGACGACGGAUCCAGUCUAACAGACGGACGAAGAUACCACCACGUAUCCAAUUUACCACCAGAGACAUUCUUCCGAGGACAGCAAGAUCUCUGUUGGGCAACACGGCCAGCAUCUACGACCAACCUACCGAAGCGCAGCUCAGAUUACUGCCCAGAUAUUCCAGUCUGGACGACCAGACGACGGGUCCGGAACGGCGAUCCCAAUCCGGACAUCCGCUGCCGAGCCAUGGAAAG